rnacentral:rRNA from 1 species
AUUGAACGCUGGCGGCAUGCUUUACACAUGCAAGUCGAACGGUAACAGGCCGCAAGGUGCUGACGAGUGGCGAACGGGCGAGUAAUGCAUCCGAACGUGCCCAGUCGUGGGGGAUAACUACUCGGAAGAGUAGCUAAUACCGCAUACGAUCUAUGGAUGAAAGCGGGGGACCGUAAGGCAUCGCGCGAUUGGAGCGGCCGAUGUCAGGUUAGGUAGUUGGUGGGGUGAAGGCUCACCAAGCCAACGAUCUGUAGCUGGUCUGAGGACGACCAGCCACACUGGGACUGAGACACGGCCCAGACUCCUACGGGAGGCAGCAGUGGGGAAUUUUGGACAAUGGGCGCAAGCCUGAUCCAGCAAUGCCGCGUGCAGGAAGAAGGCCUUCGGGUUGUAAACUGCUUUUGUACGGAACGAAACGGCUCUGGUUAAUACCCGGGGCUAAUGACGGUACCGGAAGAAUAAGCACCGGCUAACUACGUG